GCUUACGGCCACACAGGCCUGAGUACGCCUGAUCUCGUCCGAUCUCGGAAGCUAAGCAGGGUCGGGCCUGUUUAGUACUUGGAUGGGAGACCGCCUGGGAAUACCAGGUGCUGUAAGCU
rnacentral:rRNA from 1 species